AAAGGGUAUUUUGGAAGGAAUUGCACACAUAAGUGUUCAGAAAACUGCACAGCACCUUGUAACCAUGUCACUGGAAUGUGCUACUGUUUGCCAGGCUUGACCGAUAACCCUUAUUGCAGAAAAGUAUCCAACAGUGUACAAACUUGUAAAACAAAUGAACAAACUGUCGCAUUGAUCAUCUCUGGUGGAUUAAAUGCCUUAUUGAUAUGUACUGUUGCCUUUCUGAUCAGGAUUGUAUACAUAAAGAAAAAAUGUGAAGCAAGGACAAAAUUAAAAGUUGCCGAGACAUGUCACAACAAAGAAGAAACUGAACCACAAUACCAAGAUAUAGGACCAAUGGACCAAUCUCUCUGCUAUCAAGAGCUUAAUA